AAACUCUGCCUGCUUUUAGAUGGCUCCUCUUAGAACUAUGCAUCUCUCCUGAUACUUGGAUGCUUUUCCUCUGACUGGUGAGACCUCCAUCUCUGAUCCCAUCUGCAGUCAUUUGGGUGCAGUUCAACUCACAGGAUUAGAAAAAUCUGUGGCCGGACCAGUGAGAUCUGGCCUGGAGUGCUGGUCAGUGACUUCUGUGACUGACCAUCCCCUUGGGACGGACAGACCCUGGGUCUCUUCACCCUCCCCUCUCUUUUCCUGGAGAAGCCAGCUCUUUCAGAUGAAGAUCCUGAAUACCAAAGAGGGCCGCUGACAGGUCUAGGAGUACACUUCUAGCACCUAGCAGAGAGAGGCUUCACUACAUCAUGCUUCCUGACAUCUCUCCCUUUGAAGAGCAGUCAGACUCCUGCUUUGCUCUUCAGACUUAAUUUGGGGGUUUAACAGGUGAGGUUGCUGGGGGAACUCUUUUACAACAUCUCUCUGAAAGAAUCCGGGCUGCCAGUUUCAUUUGGUUUGGGUGUCAGUAGCAUGAUGGAAAGACAAAAAAACACAACUUGACAUCUGCAGAAAUGGGUUCAAAUUUUACCUGCAACUCACCAAUUCUGUGGCCUUGGUUCAGCAAUUAAACUCCCUAAAAUUCAGUUUUUUCUUUGUAAAAUGGGGUUAUGAACAGUACCUACUUCAAAAUGUGUUUGUGAAGAUUAAAAAAGUUAACAUAAAGAGUUUAGAAGAGUGUCUGGCAUAUUGUGCUCAAUAAGUG
rnacentral:lncRNA from 10 species